AUCCCUUGGCAUUCAAAAGCGCCGAAAGAAAGAAACCUAACAGCGCCAUAGCGUUCUCUAAGCUAUCGUGCGAGGUCCCUCGACCUCCGCACAACCCCAGCACCAAGGGGCUGUGCCUGUCGUCGUCUUCCACGCCCAUGUCGGAACCCGACACCCAGGCGCCGCCGCCUCCGUUCCUGCUCCAGCGCCCGCCGCUUCUGCAGUCGGCGUCGCCGCUCUUCAAGCAGCGGUCGUGGUCGCCGGACGCCUUCCGCGACGAGGCGUGGCUCCGCCGCAAGGGGAACUGGAAGAACCGCCGCAGUAAGAGCGUCACCGAUGAGGACGUGGACGAGCUCAAGGCCUGCAUCGAGUUAGGCUUUGGAUUCGAUUCCUCCCCCGAGGUCGAGCUCGAUCAACGCCUCUCCGAUACUCUACCCGCUCUCGGCCUCUACUACGCCGUCAACAAACGCUACAACGACUCCCUUGUCACCAAAACCACGCCGUCCUCCUCCUCCUCCUCCGCCGCCUCCGAUUGCGACAGCACUCCUUGCCCCCACGGCAGUCCCCACUCCGCCAUCUUCACCACCGGUGAUAACCCUCAGACGGUGAAGACGAGGCUGAGGCAGUGGGCUCAGGUAGUUGCUUGUGCGGUGCGACAAAGUUCAGAUGUGUGAUGAUAAUAAUUACCGAAUGGAGAAGCAGGGUUGUAAAACCUAAACCAUACAGUAGAAGCAAUGUGUGAUGAUUGAUAUUAUAAAUGACAACGAUUUCCCACCGAACCAGACCAAACCAAACCGAGAGUGAACCCUAGUUAACCACCCAAUCGUGGCGGAACCAAAGUAGUUAGUUAGCUAUAUUACAUUACAAUUACAUGUGGGGCUGUCGGCAGCGCCUUGUUUUGUACUGUACUUGUCCAAUAUGUGAUGACUAAGCCAAGGAAGAAAAAAAAAGUCAAAAGGUGUUCUACUGCAUUUGAAUCCAGUGCUGGUUGUGCUGCUUCUUUUCUCUUUCCUCUUGGUCUUGCUCGGUUGCUAGUACUUUAUUGAAAAACAAGGAACAAGAGAGAAGUGAAGUGAAGAAUAUAACAUUCUUGUAACUCUGACAAAGAGAUUUGACUUGCACGAGGAAUACAGCUUGCUUUCUAGCUAACAUGGGCUGGCUGGGUACGAGUACGACUCAACUUGUGUGUCUUUCGUGAAAGGCAAGACACUGAAGCUUCAAAUUUCAACAUUCUCCUGUUCGUGUCAUCGAUUGGGAAUAUUGCGGUGCUGGCAAUGCUAACUUUGUGUUUCUGACUCAUUGUACUUAAUUAAUUUCUAGCUAGCCACUCUGUCAUGACUUUGUUUUCCUUUUCCACCGAUUUUCCAGCGGCUGGGAGCUUAAUAUUUGCGGGAAUGGAAUGGAACAUCUCUGGCGUGUUGACUUUUCACGCGGAGGCUGGCGUCAAGUCAAAUUACUGCUAACAAAACGUAUAUUACAGUGUUAAUAAACACCAAUGUUAGGGGAACUCUGCCAUGAAAAAUAGAAGGUUAAGAUGAAGGAAUGUGGUGAGUUUGGGUGAUAAAAAAAUAAAGAGAUAAAUGAUAACUUAAUUACAGAAGUGGCGUGAUAUAAAAGAAAGAGAAAAAUAAUACUAUAAAACUCAGAUGAAAGAAAAAACGAGUAGAUGAACGAAAUAAUAUGUAGUUGAAAUCCCUUAUAUAUAUGACUAUGGCCUUGAUUAUAA